rnacentral:tRNA from 1 species
GCCGACGUGGCUCAGUGGCGACAGCACGAGUUUUGUAAACUCGCAUCACCGUGGGUUCGAUUCCCACCGUCGGCU